UGGGGAAUAUUGGACAAUGGGGGCAACCCUGAUCCAGCCAUGCCGCGUGAGUGAUGAAGGCCUUCGGGUUGUAAAGCUCUUUUGGCGGGGACGAUGAUGACGGUACCCGCAGAAUAAGCCCCGGCUAACUUCGUGCCAGCAGCCGCGGUAAGACGAAGGGGGCUAGCGUUGUUCGGAAUUACUGGGCGUAAAGCGAGUGUAGGCGGUUGCCGUAGUCAGGUGUGAAAGCCUUGAGCUCAACUCAAGAAAUGCACUUGAUACUGGGUGACUAGAGGACCGGAGAGGAUAGUGGAAUUCCCAGUGUAGUGGUGAAAUACGUAGAGAUUGGGAAGAACACCAGUGGCGAAGGCGGCUAUCUGGACGGUUACUGACGCUAAGACUCGAAAGCGUGGGGAGCAAACAGGAUUAGAUACCCUGGUAGUCCACGCCGUAAACGAUGGGUGCUAGACGUUGGCGAGCCUGCUCGUCAGUGUCGCAGCUAACGCGUUAAGCACCCCGCCUGGGGAGUACGGCCGCAA
rnacentral:rRNA from 1 species